rnacentral:lncRNA from 1 species
GAGGUCCAAAACUCUGAGACAAAAAAGUGAGAGAAGGACUAGAAGCCCCAGUGAAGUUGAAGAAAAAAUGGAAUAAAAACACAAAGAAAUGAGGUACUGGCAGGAUGGAGAUUUGUGUUCAGAUGUUGAAAUAUUUUCCUUAUUUAACUUUUCAGCAAUGGAGAAAUUCCAGGAUGUCUGAAGCAAUCAAGAUAUUAAUACCUUAGCAUCCAUUGCCAUAAGAACAUGUCAUUCCUUCGUCCAAGAUUUAUGCUACGUAAUAGGGAUGCAAUGAUGGAAAAAAAGAACACAACAGCAAUGAUAAAACCUACAUAAUACACUAACUAGCACAAGUAAGAAUUUCCAUGAAAUUCAAGUAGUAAUGGGAGAAGCACACCAUGCAAUUUAAGAAGAGGCACAGAGUGACCUUCACAUUUCAUUUGGAUUACAGAACCUCAUGCUAGGCAACUGUCUUCUACCACUGGAACAAAAAACCUAGAGAUUACAACCCUGAGAAGGAGGAUCCGCAGGGAUCUGGCCUGGAGAACACCAGAAAUAGGCUGUCGACAUGCUGUAAAAUGUUCUCUCGUGAUGCUGGGCAUCAACAGCGAGCAACAGCUCCCACUCAGCCCCACGAUCAUGAGGCUUGUGUGCACGGCUGACGAUCCUGAACUACCUUUCUACAGGCUGAAUUCCACACUAACACUGCUGGAGGAAUUAGAACACGUCGAAGCAUGAAAGGCUAGAAUGCAGACAUGGGAGCAACUCAACAUCAAACAUGCAGAUGAUGACAACUAACCCGUAGGGAAUAGUAGAACAACAAAAUGGCAGAAACCUGUGUCCUUAAGAGACUCCAUGGAUCAGAGCCACUCUGCUAACCUAGGCCAGCCCAAAUAAAACGUGUCUGAGAAAUAAACUUAUUUAACCUUCUGUA